ensembl:lncRNA
AAAAAAAAAAAAGCAAAGAUAUCCUACUGUACUCUGGAGUAACUGCAUAAAACAUGAUGAUUCAUGUGAUUAGAAAUUCUCCUUUAUUUUUCCUCUGUGCACAACGCUGCUCUUGGUGAACUGUUCAUCACAGUGCGUAAUUACAUUCCUUUCACCUCAACUGCCUCUACGUUUUUCAUGUCUUCCUCCUGAAAUGCUGAUUGUUCUGGAGUGUCUCGGUGUGCCUGGAAGCGAUCUGCAUGCAGAGACUCUGCUGUUGGCUGCAGUGUGGCUUAGGAGAAAUUCAGCACUUGGACAAAAGACUGCCAAGAUGUGGAGUCCCCCAGCGGUAUGACGGCACCCAGCUCUACGUGGUUGCUGCUGAGAUAGAGGUUCAAAAGUACAGAGUGUCUUCUUGAGCUUAGGGUUAUUGUGCAGCACUGCUUUCCUUCUGAGGACCGCCCUUGUAGGCAAACAGUGCCCUGGGGUCAACAGGAGAUGACCUGUUGACCCCAGGAGAUGAAGCUCCGUGUCAUCAUGAGCAGAAGUGGAGGUGUUUGAGAACUGUUUGAGUACAGCUUGCACUUCUACGGGGAAACCCACCCAGCUCAGCCUCAGGGCUUCUGCACUUAGAUUUCAUCAGUGUUAUCGGUGGGCUCUAACCUGGAGCACUCAUCUACUGGGAUGGUCUGCAAAGGUCUCUGCUCUCCCUCGAGCAGCAAGUGACUUGCAGUGCCUAGUCCUCCAGGAAUCACAGAAUCACUGAGGUUGGAAAAGACCACUAAGAUCAUGCAGUCCAAGCACCACCCCGUCCCCACCAUACCCCUGACCACGUCCCUCAGUGCCACAUCUCCAUGGUUCUUGAACACCUUCAGGAGCAGUGACUCCACCACUACCUUAGAGCUGCUGUGCCAACGCAUCAUCACCCCUCCUGAGGUGAAGUUUUCCCUAACACACAACCUGAACCUCUCCUGGCACAACUUAAGCUCCCCGAGCUCUGAAUGGGCCGUGCCUUUCAUCUGAAACACAAAAAUGGCACCUGUCCAAACCCAGAUCACAGGCUCGCACUCAGGUUUGUUUUGCUGCUAUCUCAUCUUCCUGUUUUCUUGUCCUCCCUCCCCAUCUCUUUGUUCUGCCUGCCCAGACUGUGCUGUGCUAACUGACGUUGGGAGCCGUGUGGGCAGGGAAUGGGUUUUGUUUUUAAUAAAAAGGAGGGGGGGGGGAAAGCAGCGUGGUUACAUCAUCUUGCACAACAGGUCCCCGCUCUGUGGCUGGGCCAAGGGAGCCCGUCAGAGCUGCAGAAAAUAUGAAAAAACUCAGGAUGGCAAUAAUUAAACGAUAUCACAGCGUGUUGCAUGUAAUAACAAUACGUUCCAGUCUGCUCCUCGCAUGGAAACCCCCAGGUAUACCUGGCAACGAGGGAGACAGGGAGCGGAAUGCUAAUGACGGCGGAGGAGGGGGGCACCUAAUGGCGCUGUGGCUAAUUGCCAGUUGUGCCUGCUCUUUGAACAGUCUUCCCGUGCUGAGCUAGGCAUAUUUUUGGCCUGUAGAAAACGGGGCAGGGUGUUGAUAGGGCUCUGUGUUUUCCUUAAGCUUCCUAUGGGCCGGCGGUGCGAAGGCCUACAGAGCCACGAGGUCUGCGUGCGGCCCAGGAGCGGCCUGCAGGGUUUGGAAACCCACAGCAGCGGGUCAGACCCGAGGAAAGAAACUGCAAUUGUGGAGAGCACCAGAUGCAGAACAGAAGUCUCUGCUGGUUUGCUUGUUGCAAAAGGCCCCCUCUGACUUUACCUUUGGGUCUGUUCUACCAUCUCUCAUUGUUUCACGUAAGCGUUUCUCUGGUAAUUAGGCUGGUAAUGACAAUCAUCCCUGGUGGCCCUCCCUGGUUGAGAAAGCUCUGCUCGUGGGCAGCGAGUUUUGUCUCUUAAGUGGGGAAGGCCGAGUGUCUAUAACUGCAAAAGUUGCCCCGGUUAUGAUGGAAAACCUUUAUAAAAGAGGAAAGCUUUGCUGCAUUUCCUAGAAGUGAUUCAGAAUGCAUUUGUCUGGUUUCCUCUGGAAGCUCACAGCAGCCUUGGAGGUGAAUGUUUUGUCCCUGGCUGCUUCCUUCUGGACUCUGCGGUCUGCGCCGUCCCGGAGGAGCACAGAUAGCUCUGAUUUGCAGCUGCAGGUGCAGGCUUCUUGUAGCUGGGCACAGAUAUGUUCAGAGCUUUGAAGACCAAGACCUUGAACUAGCAGCGGAUGCAGAUUAAAAACCCUCUUCAGCUUCCUAAAGUGCAACUGAACUUCUGCAUGAGGCGACGAAGGAAAACAACCCCCUGGUUUCCAGGGGCUUUUUUAAACGUAGCAGGGAUUUGAUGUUUUAUCUUUGUUGCCUUUCCUCUAAAUGAUUUCAAACUACCCAUGGAUACGAAUGCCUCUAAUUUCAAGGCUUUCCUUUUGGGAUACAACAAAGUGAAGGCAGCCACUCAGAAGUUUGGCUGCAGGCAGGAGAAGAACAGACGUGUCCAUGAGCGGACACAGCCAUCCGUGGGAGCUGGAAGAACAGAGGGGAAUGGGAAGUUCUGGUUUCAGAAGCUUGUCCUCGGAGCUGGAUGUAAGAGGAUUCUGCCCUAAGAACACAGGCUCUACAGGCUGAUUGUACAGCAGCAGCUCCUCUACUGGUCUUUACAAAACCCAUUUGAGGUCUACUAAUGAAAAGUGCUAUGGAAUUAUUGGUCUGACUUCUAUUCCCGCAGAAUUAGUGCGGCCCGAAGCCAGAGGGAGCCCUUCUGCAGGGAGGUUUGGAUCACCUUUGCUCAAGGUUCUAACACCCCUCGCUUGCCCUUGAUUCCCAUGUGGUGUCGGUGGGGAUGGGGGGCCACAGGCUGGGGUUGGUGCCUGGGUGCUGCACUGGGCUCUCUCUGCUCUGCCUCCCAUUGCUGAUGAGUGGCAGGGACAGACAGCCCACUGCCUUCCAACUGUUGGCUGCCAUACACACAGACUCUGAAAAAUUGUGAUUCCACUUUUGUUACACUUCCAUGGAAAGUGGGCCGUUUCUUGGUUUUUUUUUCCCCCACUUUCACAGAAACACACUUGAGUUGGAAGGGACCUCUAGAACCCAUCUGGUCCCACUCCCUGCAGUGCACAGGGGCACCCACAGCUCCAUCAGGUGCUCAGAGCCCCAUCCAGUCUGAUCCUGGGUGUCUCCAAGGAUGGGGCAUCCAUCACACCCUUGGAUAGCCCGUGCCAAUGCCUUACCAUCCUUGUUAUAAAAAACUUUUUUCUUGUAUGCAAUCUAAAUCUUCCCUCUUUUAGUUUGAAACCGUUUCCCCUCAUCCUAUCACAGCAGACCCAGCUAAGGAACCUGUCCCAUCCUUUCUUAUCACUCCCCUUUUUCUUUGUAGGGAAACUGAUGCAGGCUGCGUAUCGGCAGCGCAGGGGAACGAACCGGACGAGAGGAGAAUAUUUAUUUAUUAUGGGAAUGUCUGAAGUUAUCCUUUCUGCUGGCUUUUGGCUCAAGGAGGAGCACCCCGCGUGCCACCCAGAGUCAAAGGGUAAGUGCAGUGAAAAAUAACAAUCAAAGAAAAAAAAAACAGCAAGGAAAAAGAAAAAAAAAAAAAGAAAGGAAAAGGAAAGAGGUAGCGUUGCAAGUAAAGCUGGGAGAUUGCCAUUAAGAAGAAGAAAAAAAAAAUUAAAAAGGUGGGGGUGGUCACCAUGGGGCCGGCUGGGCUCCGGGUCCCGCCCGCUCCCGUCCC